rnacentral:lncRNA from 1 species
CACAGUGAGAGGGCAUUAACUUCGACCCGUUAAUCUUAACAGACAAGCUCGCGGCUGCAAGGCCUCGUACGCACCCCUAUCGGCUCGAUGACAUCAUCAUACUUCUGUGAGAUACGGAUAAGACCCAUCUGAAGCAUCGGUUCUCAACAGUGGCGAGCUGACGUCAAGGGCCAGACGGUUAGCAAUACGAGGGGUAGGGGUAAAAUUCUAUUAGACCUAGUAUAUGUAAAGCAAUAAAAGCAUGCAAGAUCUACCAGCCGAUACAAUCUGAUAACUGCGAACAUUUAAACAAGGCGAGGGAGCUGAUGAAGAUAACCUUUCAAAUCUAAAAUAUUCGAUAACUGUGAGUAACGUCGAAGACAAGAAAAAUAUUGGAUAAAAUUUAGAAAGUUCUACCUGCAAUCUAAAUUAACUCGAUAACAAGCCACACGACCGAAUAUCAGAAUAUAAGACUUAACUUAGAAAGUUAGAGAUCGUAAUGACCGGGUGACUAUACUUACAAGCUCGCCGGAGAUCGAAACUGAUGCAGCCCUGCGCGCAAGAAGAAACUCAUCGAAAAGCUACAUUACUCCUACUCCUAAGGAUUUGGUGGUGUAGCACCGAAAGAUUGUAUUGAUUGAUCGAGAGAUGUCUCUUUACAAUGGCUAGAGGAUACAUAUUUAUACCCUAAACUAAUGACUCCUGAUCACCUACGACAAUGACCUGUACAAAACUUGUCUAACAAUAAAUAUAUGAACAAAAGUAAAUAUUAAGAUAUAUGGACUCUAAUUUCCCUUAUGUAGAAUCCUUGCUAAUGAAGCUUCCUGUCCGCGAGAAGAUCGAUCCGCAUGCGUGAUUAACCAGGCUCCUCCUAUGUGGCGCACGUAACAUAGACCAACACCUGUGUCGUAGUCUUUCCUUCUUUAUUCUAAUCAACUUUGCCUCUACGCGUGGGCUUUUUCCCCUAACACCAUAACGUAGACCAACACCCAUGCCAUAGUCUUUCCUUCUUUAUUCUAAUCAACUUUGCCUCUACGCGUGGGCUUUUCCCCGACACCAACCUUGCUUUCUUUACUCUAAUCACCUCUUACUUGCCAGCCGAUAGACCAAUCUCCAAAAAUCUUUAUCCAAUACGCAUCAUGUCCUUAUCAGAAUAUUCUUUUCCUUGCUCCGAGCUUUAUGGGAUUUAUCGGCCAAAAUCCAGUGUCAAGAAAAGUACGUGAAGUCCCACAACAGCUUAUGCUCCUCUUCAUAAUUGGUGUCAUUUAACACCAGAAAAAUGGUUCGAAGAGGAUGGAAAUAGGCAUAGGAGGUAGCAGGAUUUUGGAGGGAGGUUGUUAGGGACCAGAGGCUAGAGCAGAACCUACGUGAUGCACGGCAAGCAGCGGUACGGCGUUUUUACACCCCGACUGACUCGUCCUCCACUUUAACGAAGGUUAGCCGAUGGGAUUCAAAAACACGGAACACUUGAUUCCUAGCUCGAAGGCCGCCUUGGAACACUUGAUUCCUAGCUCGAAGGCCGCCUUGCUUUCACAUCCUCUUUCCAUGUGGGUAGCAGGCUCUUAACUGUUUUGCUUGCUAGUCGCAGUUAUAGUGUAUCUACAGCGCCGAAAACCUGAGAAAUUGGUUCAAGGGGAGGCAUCAGAUUCCUACAAGGUGAAGCAUGUUGAAAUAAUUGACUAAGUAUCUAAUGUUGGAGGUAGCAGUUGGGCAGGACUUUAAUUUGAUGAAAACUUCCCGUUCAGAAGAACUUGAAAUAAUUUGAAUUAUUAGCCUUGUGAAUAGAACCACGCGCAAGUAUAACAAUCCGGUAAAUACCAAUAACACUUUCUCAACAAGAAAGUUUCUAUUUAUUUCGAAGAUCAUUAAUUACAUCGAUUCUAUACAAAAAAUCUUAAAAGCAAUAACCCCU